AAAUGCAGCCAUAUCACCCUGCAACUCACAACUGGCAGCCCACUGAAGCUUAGCAGGUGAGCCUGGCCAGUACCUGGAUGGGAGACCUCCUGGGAAAAACUAAGGUUGCUGCUGGAA
rnacentral:rRNA from 1 species